rnacentral:rRNA from 1 species
UACGUAGGGUGCAAGCGUUAAUCGGAAUUACUGGGCGUAAAGCGUGCGCAGGCGGUUCUAUAAGACAGAUGUGAAAUCCCCGGGCUCAACCUGGGAACUGCAUUUGUGACUGUAGAGCUGGAGUACGGCAGAGGGGGAUGGAAUUCCGCGUGUAGCAGUGAAAUGCGUAGAUAUGCGGAGGAACACCGAUUGCGAAGGCAAUCCCCUGGGCCUGUACUGACGCUCAUGCACGAAAGCGUGGGGAGCAAACAGG